rnacentral:rRNA from 1 species
CACGGGGGGAGCAAGCGUUGUUCGGAAUCACUGGGCGUAAAGGGCGUGUAGGCGGUCAAGUAAGUGGGAUGUGAAAUCCCUCGGCUCACCCGAGGACCUGCAUCCCAAACUGCUUGGCUUGAGUAUGGGAGAGGAUGAGGGAAUUCCUGGUGUAGCGGUGAAAUGCGUAGAUAUCAGGAGGAACACCGGUGGCGAAGGCGCUCAUCUGCCCAAUACUGACGCUGAGGCGCGAAAGCUAGGGGAGCAAACGGAUGAUGAACCUAACGUAGUCAGACCAAGUCCA